UGGUGUGCGUCUCCAGCUGCACGCCAUCUGCCACUGUCCGCCAUGUGUUGCCAGCAGCUUGGCUACAACGGAAAAGAGGUAACAGAGUUCUCUGUGCCCAACCUGUCUAAUCCAUCUCAGCCAUUCUCUGUGGUCCCUACUACCUCCUCACCCUGGGAGACAGAACUGGCAAAACUCUUCCCACAACAGCAAAGACCUUCAGGACAUCGGAGCCCCUCCUUGGAGCUUUCCAGAGCCUUGGCCAGGAUGCUGCCGGCCACACUGACAGCCUGGCACACGUAGUAGCCAGCAUCCCCACUUUGCACUUCAGUGAUGUUGAGCUGGCCUCGCGGAGAGACUGAGAAGCGCCCGGUGGGCUGAAGCGACUGACUGGGGAAUAGCAAGGCCUGAGGACAGAGCAAGAAACCGAGGCAGUCCCAGGUGGGGCCUCACCGUGAACGCUGAGGGAGCCAGAUGCCUCUGCACGGCCCACGCGGUUCUCCGCCACACAGGUGUAAGUCCCCUCGUCGUCAGCCCUCACAUGCCGGAUCCAGAGGCUGUGGUCACUCCGGAUCUCAUACCUGUCCCACUCCCCACCCCCGGGCUGGGUUGGUCAUGGCUACAGACCCCUUCUUGCUCCCCCAGGACAGACCCUGGGAU